CAUCUGUUACAAACAAUGCAACGAACUUUGGAAACCUUCAGAUUAAAUCAGCAAAGGAGAUGACAAAAGAGGCAGGCAACUUCAGAAGGAGCAAGAGUCUGAAAAUUUUACGAAAUGUGAAAAACAGUAUUUGGAAUCCAUCUUCGAUAGUAAGAGCUCCGGAGCAUAAUCCGUCAAAUCAUCACAGCUCUAUUCUGAAUUUUGGUAUGCAUUUUAAAAAAUAAAUAUGCUCCAAUGUUCAAUUUACUAUGAAGGUAAUCCAUACAAUAAUACUGAAGUCCAAAAUUAUAAUACUAUAUAUCCUAAAGUUUUCUUGCAUUCUCUAAAUUAUCACUACAACUUUCCAGUUGAUAGUUUGUAAUGCUAUCACCAAGAUUUCUCAUCCUACCAUAUAUAGGAUCAUAUGCAUUAAUGUAAACAUUGCAAAGGAUGGUCAGAAUCCUUUUUAGAUUUAUUAAAUAUGGUAGGAUGUUGCCUUAUAUUUUCUAAUAGCUUUCUCAAAUGCUAUAAAGUAACUGAAAAAACUUAGAAUUAAAUCGAAAUGAGAAAAUACAUGUUGAGAACUAGGGAAAAUGGCACUGACAUGUUGACACGAGGAAGGAAAAAAAUCAUUUCGGGAA